rnacentral:rRNA from 1 species
AGCUUACCAGAAAGGGACGGCUAACUACGUGCCAGCAGCCGCGGUAAUACGUAGGUCCCGAGCGUUGUCCGGAUUUAUUGGCCGUAAAGCGAGCGCAGGCGGUUAGAUAAGUCUGAAGUUAAAGGCUGUGGCUUAACCAUAGUACGCUUUGGAAACUGUUUAACUUGAGUGCAAGAGGGGAGAGUGGAAUUCCAUGUGUAGCGGUGAAAUGCGUAGAUAUAUGGAGGAACACCGGUGGCGAAAGCGGCUCUCUGGCUUGUAACUGACGCUGAGGCUCGAAAGCGUGGGGAGCAAACAGGAUUAGAUACCCUGGUAGUCCACGUGUCGACGCGGCCG